UAGGGAAUCUUCGGCAAUGGACGAAAGUCUGACCGAGCAACGCCGCGUGAGUGAAGAAGGUUUUCGGAUCGUAAAACUCUGUUGUUAGAGAAGAACAAGGACGUUAGUAACUGAACGUCCCCUGACGGUAUCUAACCAGAAAGCCACGGCUAACUACGUGCCAGCAGCCGCGGUAAUACGUAGGUGGCAAGCGUUGUCCGGAUUUAUUGGGCGUAAAGCGAGCGCAGGCGGUUUCUUAAGUCUUAUGUGAAAGCCCCCGGCUCAACCGGGGAGGGUCAUUGGAAACUGGGAGACUUGAGUGCAGAAGAGUAGAGUGGAAUUCCAUGUGUAGCGGUGAAAUGCGUAGAUAUAUGGAGGAACACCAGUGGCGAAGGCGGCUCUCUGGUCUGUAACUGACGCUGAGGCUCGAAAGCGUGGGUAGCAAACAGG
rnacentral:rRNA from 1 species